rnacentral:rRNA from 1 species
AACUUAGCAGAGAUGCUUUGGUGCCUUCGGGAACUCUGAGACAGGUGCUGCAUGGCUGUCGUCAGCUCGUGUUGUGAAAUGUUCGGGUUAAGUCCCGCAACGAGCGCAACCCUUAUCCUUUGUUGCCAGCGGUCCGGCCGGGAACUCAAAGGAGACUGCCAGUGAUAAACUGGAGGAAGGUGGGGAUGACGUCAAGUCAUCAUGGCCCUUACGAGUAGGGCUACACACGUGCUACAAUGGCGCAUACAAAGAGAAGCGACCUCGCGAGAGCAAGCGGACCUCAUAAAGUGCGUCGUAGUCCGGAUUGGAGUCUGCAACUCGACUCCAUGAAGUCGGAAUCGCUAGUAAUCGUGGAUCAGAAUGCCACGGUGAAUACGUUCCCGGGCCUUGUACACACCGCCCGUCACACCAUGGGAGUGGGUUGCAAAAGAAGUAGGUAGCUUAACCUUCGGGAGGGCGCUUACCACUUUGUGAUUCAUGACUGGGGUGAAGUCGUAACAAGGUAAGCGUAGUGCU